rnacentral:rRNA from 1 species
UUGGAGGGCAAGUCUGGUGCCAGCAGCCGCGGUAAUUCCAGCUCCAAUAGCGUAUAUUAAAGUUGCUGCAGUUAAAAAGCUCGUAGUUGAAUUUCGGGACCAUCAUGUCGGUCGUGCCUCGGUACGUACUGGUAUUGUUGGUUUCUCCCUUCUGACGAACCAUGAUGUCAUUUAUUUGGUGUUGUGGGGAAUCAGGACUGUUACUUUGAAAAAAUUGGAGUGUUUAAAGCAGGCUCACGCUUGAAUACAUUAGCAUGGAAUAAUGAAAUAGGACGUUUGAUUCUAUUUUGUUGGUUUCUAGGAUCGACGUAAUGAUUAAUAGGGAUAGUUGGGGGCAUUAGUAUUCAAUUGUCAGAGGUGAAAUUCUUGGAUUUAUUGAAGACUAACUACUGCGAAAGCAUUUGCCAAGGAUGUUUUCAUUAAUCAAGAACGAAAGUUAGGGGAUCGAAGACGAUCAGAUACCGUCGUAGUCUUAACCAUAAACUAUGCCGACUAGGGAUCGGAUGAUGUUAAUUUUUUAAUGACUCAUUCGGCGCCUUACGGGAAAC